UACGUAGGGUGCGAGCGUUUGUCCGGAAUUAUUGGGCGUAAAGGGCUCGUAGGCGGUUUGUCACGUCGGGAGUGAAAACUCGGGGGCUCAACCCCGAGCCUGCUUCCGAUACGGGCAGACUAGAGGUAUGCAGGGGAGAAUGGAAUUCCUGGUGUAGCGGUGAAAUGCGCAGAUAUCGGGAAGAACACCCGUGGCGAAGGCGGCUCUCUGGGACGGUACUGACGCUGAGACGCGAAAGCGUGGGGAGCAAACAGG
rnacentral:rRNA from 1 species